CAAACGCUUGUGUAAAAUAUAAACAAAAUUUUUAGUGAAAUCAUUUAUGGUUAAAUACCGCCUCAAUUUUGUAGCUAAAAUAACUCAAAUUGUUUAAACACUUGAAGAGGUGAAAUGUUUACCGAAAAUUUAAAAUGAUAAAAAAGUUUUCAAGAUAAAGUGCGAUUUAUUCUACAAGUUCAAAAAAGGUUGAAUAACAAACCAAGACAGCCCAGUGAUUGUUGCUUCACCGAAUGCAACCAAGGGUCGUAUUCAAUUAGAAAAAUGAUGGGAGUUCGGAUAAGCAAAUCGUUAAUGAGUUACUUUCAAAUGAGGAAUUUGUGUUCAAAGAAAGGCACAGGAAAGACAAUUGAGCUUCCGGAGGAGCCCACCAAUUGCUGCAUGUCCGGGUGUCAGAACUGCGUUUGGAUUCAGUAUGCAAGUGAG